AUGGCAGCCAACCAUAGGUUUCCUCAGUCGCCAUGGAAGCAGACACGGAGACCUGCAGUUCUGCAGAUUACAGCGAAGACAUAGGAGAGGAGCCAGCGCAGAUACCAUCAGUGCUAAUCAAUUCCACAGAACAAACACCUGUGGAAACAGUAGAGGCGCCACCAGCAAAACGGUAUGUGAGCAAUGUUUUCAAUUUUCUACGAAUUUGAAACCCUUCCAAGUGGUUGCAACAUUGCAUUUUUUUACAACCUAACACACUGCACUUUACUGCCUGCAGCCCGAGGACAUCAAAUAAUCGCAAAGAAACUGAAGGUUCGAGGUGAGAGACAUGUGAUGUUUACCGAACAUAAAUCUACAAAACUUUUAGUUACCAUUUUAGGUAACAAAGCUGCGCAUGCCAACAAUUGCAAGAAAUAGCAUGUGCCUGGAGCAUGAGUACUGGUGCAUCCAAGAUGACAUACUUCCUCUACAGCCAUGCAGGUCAGAGUGCAAGCCAUGAGGCUGUUGUGCAAGCCUGUAUGGAACAUCUAGCGCAACUAAAGGAGCAUAAUACCACAAACAAAAGGGAUGACAUUGCUUAUUUUGCACUGAGAACUGAUGCGCGCCUGCGGGCAUUGCCAGUUCAUGUAGCGCAAGACCUGAUGCACCUAGUGGAGUCAAUGAUAUAUCAGGCAGAAGUGGAAAAUAGGAACACCAGCAAUUGAAAGGAACAUUUACCUUGGGUGCUGUUACACAUUCUAGUCAUAAUCAUCAUCAGCAUAUUCUUAGGUUAUUUUUUUGUAUGUUCCUCAUACGUUACAGUAUGGUGAAAACUUUCUUUUUUGAAACACUGCCUUACAGUAACCUUUUUUAGUGAUCUGUGGUGAGGUUUGUAGUUAUAUUAUCACCCUGCAGCCUGAAAUAUUAAGGAAUAUUUUAAGCUGCUACUGCAACUGUUGCGACUUUUUUUUACCAAUUAUUGCCUUGUAUUCGAGGUGUCAUUGUGAUAUUUCUGCACGUGUGCCUUUGUCAGACAUAGACGAAAAAGCAAUACUUUUAUGUGUCCAGGUAAGAUAUGUGAUAUUUUAAUUUCAAGGAUUAACUUCGUAUGACACUCCCGUUGCUUGUUUCCCUGUGCAUUUGUGAUAUUUCUUGCACAAGGAAUUCCUAUGUAAAGUGCGA